UACGAAGGGGGGCUAGCGUUGCUCGGAAUUACUGGGCGUAAAGCGCACGUAGGCGGCUUUCUAAGUCGGGGGGUGAAAUCCUGGAGCUCAACUCCAGAACUGCCUUCGAUACUGGAGAGCUCGAGUCCGGGAGAGGUGAGUGGAACUGCGAGUGUAGAGGUGAAAUUCGUAGAUAUUCGCAAGAACACCGGUGGCGAAAGGCGGUUCUCUGGGCCUUACCUGACGCUGAGGAGCGAAAGCGUGGGGAGCGAACAGG
rnacentral:rRNA from 1 species